rfam:Aedes albopictus isolate Foshan contig62723, whole genome shotgun sequence.
UGCCCAGCAACUCCUAUCCCUACCUCCACGUGGUACCGGUCGGAAACUAUGAGCAACCUUAGGGAAGAUCGGGUAACCAACCCCGGUGGGCUGACAGUGAAGG